UACAGAGGUCUCAAGCGUUGUUCGGAUUCAUUGGGCGUAAAGGGUGCGUAGGCGGCGCGGUAAGUCGGGUGUGAAAUCUCGGAGCUUAACUCCGAAACUGCAUUCGAUACUGCCGUGCUUGAGGACUGGAGAGGAGACUGGAAUUUACGGUGUAGCGGUGAAAUUGCGUAGAUAAUUCGCAAGGAACACCAGUGGCGGAAGGCGG
rnacentral:rRNA from 1 species